UGCUGCGAAGCAAUCGGAAGUGGUUCCAAGAAAAGCCUCUAAGCUUCAGUCAUACGAGACCGUACCGCAAACCGACACAGGUGGGCGAGAUGAGUAUUCUAAGGCGCUUGAGAGAACUCGGGAGAAGGAACUCGGCAAAUUGGUACCGUAACUUCGGGAAAAGGUACGCCCUUGUAGUUUGACCACUUUACUGUGGAAGGAUGAACGGGUUGCAAUAAACUGGUGGCUGCGACUGUUUAAUAAAAACACAGCACUCUGCAAACACGAAAGUGGACGUAUAGGGUGUGACGCCUGCCCGGUGCUGGAAGAUUAAAUGAUGGGGUGCAAGCUCUUGAUUGAAGUCCCAGUAAACGGCGGCCGUAACUAUAACGGUCCUAAGGUAGCGAAAUUCCUUGUCGGGUAAGUUCCGACCUGCACGAAUGGCGUAACGAUGGCCACACUGUCUCCUCCCGAGACUCAGCGAAGUUGAAAUGUUUGUGAUGAUGCAAUCUACCCGCGGCUAGACGGAAAGACCCCAUGAACCUUUACUGUAGCUUUGCAUUGGACUUUGAACCAAUCUGUGUAGGAUAGGUGGGAGGCUUUGAAGCGGGGACGCCAGUUCUCGUGGAGCCAUCCUUGAAAUACCACCCUGGUUUGUUUGAGGUUCUAACCUUGGUCCGUUAUCCGGAUCGGGGACAGUGCAUGGUAGGCAGUUUGACUGGGGCGGUCUCCUCCUAAAGUGUAACGGAGGAGUUCGAAGGUACGCUAGGUACGGUCGGACAUCGUGCUAAUAGUGCAAUGGCAUAAGCGUGCUUAACUGCGAGACCGACAAGUCGAGCAGGUACGAAAGUAGGACAUAGUGAUCCGGUGGUUCUGUAUGGAAGGGCCAUCGCUCAACGGAUAAAAGGUACUCUGGGGAUAACAGGCUGAUUCCUCCCAAGAGUUCAUAUCGACGGGGGAGUUUGGCACCUCGAUGUCGGCUCAUCACAUCCUGGGGCUGUAGCCGGUCCCAAGGGUAUGGCUGUUCGCCAUUUAAAGUGGUACGUGAGCUGGGUUUAAAACGUCGUGAGACAGUUUGGUCCCUAUCUGCCGUGGGCGUUGGAAAUUUGAAGGGGGCUGCUCCUAGUACGAGAGGACCGGAGUGGACGAACCUCUGGUGUACCGGUUGUCACGCCAGUGGCAUUGCCGGGUAGCUAAGUUCGGAAGAGAUAACCGCUGAAAGCAUCUAAGCGGGAAACUUGCCUUGAGAUGAGAUUUCCCGGAGCCUUGAGCUCCUUGAAGGGUCGUUCGAGACCAGGACGUUGAUAGGCUGGGUGUGGAAGUGCAGUAAUGCAUUAAGCUAACCAGUACUAAUUGCCCGUACGGCUUGUCCC
rnacentral:rRNA from 1 species